rnacentral:rRNA from 1 species
GACGAACGCUGGCGGCGUGCUUAACACAUGCAAGUCGAACGAUGAAGCCUAGCUUGCUAGGUGGAUUAGUGGCGAACGGGUGAGUAAUACGUGAGUGACCUACCUUUGACUCUGGGAUAAGCCUGGGAAACUGGGUCUAAUACCGGAUACGACCAAUCUCCGCAUGGGGUGUUGGUGGAAAGCGUUAUGGAGUGGUUUUAGAUGGGCUCACGGCCUAUCAGCUUGUUGGUGAGGUAAUGGCUUACCAAGGCGACGACGGGUAGCCGGCCUGAGAGGGUGACCGGCCACACUGGGACUGAGACACGGCUCAGACUCCUACGGGAGGCAGCAGUGGGGAAUAUUGCACAAUGGGCGCAAGCCUGAUGCAGCGACGCCGCGUGAGGGAUGACGGCCUUCGGGUUGUAAACCUCUGUUAGCAUCGAAGAAGCGAAAGUGACGGUAGGUGCAGAGAAAGCGCCGGCUAACUACGUG